AGGAAGACCAGCACGAUCUAUGAACGGGGGCACGGAAGCAAGGAAAGUUUUGGGACUAACCCAAGCUGGUCUAAGGGAGGCGGGGCUACAGAGAUGUGGAUGACUCAACGAACAUCUGAGGCCAGGAAGGAAAGAUCGAAGAAACUCAUGUACAAAGUGAGAUCCCCGAAGGGGGGAGGCAAGUUUAAAUAGGCGACAGGGGUCGAUGCAAUAAUGGCUGCAGGACUCCUCAGGCCAGUCCGU
rnacentral:lncRNA from 1 species